rnacentral:rRNA from 1 species
AACGAACGCUGGCGGCGUGCUUAACACAUGCAAGUCGAACGGGAUUGGAAGCUUGCUUCCAUGAGAGUGGCGCACGGGUGAGUAACGCGUGGAUAACCUGCCCUGGUAUCUGGAAUAACAUCUCGAAAGGGGUGCUAAUACCGGAUAAGCUCACGACUCCUUCGGGAGAUGCGAGAAAAGGUGGCCUCUGAAUAUGCUACCGUAUCAGGAUGGGUCCGCGUACCAUUAGCUAGUUGGUGGGGUAAUGGCCUACCAAGGGUACGAUGGUUAGCCGGUCUGGGAGCAUGAUCAGACACACUGGAACUGAGACACGGUCCAGACUCCUGCGGGGGGGAGAGGUGGGGAAGUUUGCGGAAUGGGGGAAACCCUGACGCAGCAACGCCGCGUGAGUGAUGAAGGCCUUCGGGUCGUAAAGCUCUAUCAGAGGGGAAGAAGUGUAGUGGUGCUAAUACCAUCACUUCUUGACGGUACCCUCAAAGGAAGCACCGGCUAACUCCGUGCCAGCCGCCGCCGUAACAC